rnacentral:rRNA from 1 species
AGCAGCCGCGGUAAUUCCAGCUCCAAUAGCGUAUAUUAAAGUUGUUGCAGUUAAAAAGCUCGUAGUUGAAUUUCGGGGUUCUACCGUUGGUCGGGCUAUUGUCUGUACUGGCGUGUAGAAUUUUUACCUUCUGGGGAACUAUCAUGUUAUUAAUUUAGCGUGGUAGGAAACCAGGACCUUUACCUUGAAAAAAUUAGAGUGUUCAAAGCAGGCUUAUGUCUGAAUACAUUAGCAUGGAAUAAUAAAAUAGGACGGUGGUCCUGUUUUGUUGGUUCCUGAAUCACCGUAAUGAUUAAUAGGGAUAGUUGGGGGCAUUAGUAUUCAAUUGUCAGAGGUGAAAUUCUUGGAUUUAUUGAAGACUAACUACUGCGAAAGCAUUUGCCAAGGAUGUUUUCAUUAAUCAAGAACGAAAGUUAGGGGAUCGAAGACGAUCAGAUACCGUCGUAGUCU